rnacentral:rRNA from 1 species
CAAUCAAACCGGGAGAUAGCUGGUUCUCCCCGAAAGCUAUUUAGGUAGCGCCUCGUGAAUUCAUCUCCGGGGGUAGAGCACUGUUUCGGCUAGGGGGCCAUCCCGGCUUACCAACCCGAUGCAAACUGCGAAUACCGGAGAAUGUUAUCACGGGAGACACACGGCGGGUGCUAACGUCCGUCGUGAAGAGGGAAACAACCCAGACCGCCAGCUAAGGUCCCAAAGUCAUGGUUAAGUGGGAAACGAUGUGGGAAGGCCCAGACAGCCAGGAUGUUGGCUUAGAAGCAGCCAUCAUUUAAAGAAAGCGUAAUAGCUCACUGGUCGAGUCGGCCUGCGCGGAAGAUGUAACGGGGCUAAACCAUGCACCGAAGCUGCGGCAGCGAACGUAUCACCCAAGACAACUUUACGGAGUUGACGAUUGACGGAGCGAAGCGACGUCAAAGCGUUCAUUAAAGUCGAGUUGGCUUAGGGAUACGUUCGUUGGGUAGGGGAGCGUUCUGUAAGCCUGUGAAGGUGUGUCGUGAGGCAUGCUGGAGGUAUCAGAAGUGCGAAUGCUGACAUAAGUAACGAUAAAGCGGGUGAAAAGCCCGCUCGCCGGAAGACCAAGGGUUCCUGUCCAACGUUAAUCGGGGCAGGGUGAGUCGACCCCUAAGGCGAGGCCGAAAGGCGUAGUCGAUGGGAAACGGGUUAAUAUUCCCGUACUUGGUGUUACUGCGAAGGGGGGACGGAGAAGGCUAUGUUGGCCGGGCGACGGUUGUCCCGGUUUAAGCGUGUAGGUGUGUGUUCCAGGUAAAUCCGGUUCACUUUAACACUGAGGCGUGACGACGAGGCACUACGG